rnacentral:rRNA from 1 species
ACGCUCGACACCUACGGGAGGUAGCAGUGAGGAAUAUUGGUCAAUGGGCGCUAGCCUGAACCAGCCAAGUAGCGUGAAGGAUGAAGGCUCUAUGGGUCGUAAACUUCUUUUAUAUAAGAAUAAAGUGCAGUAUGUAUACUGUUUUGUAUGUAUUAUAUGAAUAAGGAUCGGCUAACUCCGUGCCGGCAGCCGCGGUAAUCUGAGCGGGCUGGCAAGGC